rnacentral:lncRNA from 1 species
GUUAAUUUAUGUUGUAAUUAAAAAUGGGAUUCCACAAUCAUAAGUACAUUUAGAAUUUGUGGGUUAAUAUUGCAUGAGACCUUUGAAACCUUAUGCUUGCUACUUCCAGGUGCAAUUAUUUAAUUAUGGCUUUUGGUACGGUGUGUGUGUGUGUGUGUGUGUGUGUGUGUAUGUAUGUAUGUAUAAACUUGUCAAAGUAUGUGACAGUGUUAAUUAUCCCUCAGGGAAGAAAUGUUAAGUGUAUCUGGGUACAUUCAGGAAAAUGUUGAAUGAGAUAUAGGAAAACCAGAAUUACUUGUACUAGGGAGAUUUAUCUUAAAUCCCAUCUUUUGUUUUAAUUAAUUAAUUUAAUUUCUUCCCUUUUCAUGAGGUAUAAAAAUAUAACCAAAACCCAUCAGGACAGAUUUUAUAUGGCUAAAAAUUCAUGCUCUCAUGAAAAUAGGGGAGAGUUUUUCUGAUUUUUCUUGAAGUUCUC